UACGUAGGGGGCUAGCGUUGUCCGGAAUCAUUGGGCGUAAAGAGCGUGUAGGCGGUCCGGUAAGUCCGCUGUGAAAGUCGGGGGCUCAACCCUCGAAUGCCGGUGGAUACUGUCGGGCUAGAGUGCGGAAGAGGCGAGUGGAAUUCCUGGUGUAGCGGUGAAAUGCGUAGAUAUCAAGAGGAACACCUGCGGCGAAGGCGGGUUGCUGGGCCGACACUGACGCUGAGGCGCGAAAGCUAGGGGAGCGAACGGG
rnacentral:rRNA from 1 species